UUUCCGUAGGUGAACCUGCGGAAGGAUCAUUAUCAUGUAAUUCAGUCCCCUUGGCUGUGUUAUGUAUAUACCCACUCUGUGUACCUUCUCCUGUUGCUUCCGCUGGGUGUGUAAUUCGCCCGGCGGAAGGGUAAAAAUAACCUCUGAGUAUUGAUGAAAUCUCUGUCUGAACCGAAUAGAAAGAAAAAUGUUAAAACUUUCAGCAACGGAUCUCUUGGUUCUC
rnacentral:misc_RNA from 1 species